AUUUCAUAAAAUGUUUCGUUGGUCGUGUCUCUGUCUUCGUUUAGUCUUUUGUUUGAUGAUACCUAUAUCAUUUUGUUAACAGCCGAAUCUCCGUGCAUUUGGUAAACAUUGUCACAAUUGUGGAAAGUGGAUGGAGCGAAGGGCUCUUCGUAAAGAUGGUGUGUAGUAUUUUAGUAGUGACAUGCAAUUUUUGUGAUGGCAAAAUAUUUGCAAGAGAUGGCAAACAAAAGCAAAUGUGCAGUCGAUGUGUGGAAUGCGACAACAUUAUACUCGAUAAUUUCAAUUAUUGCGAGUGCUGUGGCUGUAAAAUGAAAAAUAAUACUUAUUACCAGAUAGAGAUGUCGAUAACGAAGAGUUGAAUGUUAGAACUUAUGAAAAUAUUAUUUACAACUCAUUUCGAGAAGCUGCUCAAGCUCCUUUUUGACGAUCAAGAAUGGGAAAGAUGUUUGAAUGAAGCAAUUGAUUUUAAACUUCCUCGGCAAUUAUUUCGAGUUCGAAGAUUCGAUGAUGUAAAAAUUCAAAUUAUCAAUACCACUGAACAAGGCUUGAAAGGUGAUAAAUAUUUAUCGAAAAAUGUUAUAUAUAGAGAAAUUUUGUGAUAAUCAACCUCUGAUGUAUAAUAGAGAAUAUUUUUUUAUAAGUACCUUUGCCAAAUUCUCGGAUAAGUACUCAUUGUAAAAUUACAAUUUACAUACUUCCUAAUAUUAUUCUUGAUUUAGCCAAUUUGGAUAAAGAACCACAAUUUCAUAUUUUAUUUUUAAAAUUAGUAAGUACUUAUCUACCUGUCAAAGUAAAGAA